GGAUAUCCAGUAUUCGCUCUCACAGACUCGAUUAUGGCAGAUCAGCUGUGCUAUCGCUUCCUGUGAGAUGCCUUUGAGACGAGAAACCAAAACCUGAGGAUCUUCGUCCGAGUUAUUGAUGUGAAUAGAGAUGGAUGACCAAACACCUGUGAAGAGAUGAAGACAGCUCCUGUGAGGACUUCAGAUGAUGCCAACUCUGAAUCAACAUGCACCUCUGCUAAAUGUUUUAUAUCAUGUCCACAACUUGUAAUAAUUACUUUAAUAAGCUCAUUGUUUCAGCCUAAAUUAAUGCAUGAUGUUAACUGCCUGCAUUGAAUUAUAUUGAACUGAUUUCUGAAAUAUGGACAUUACAGAGACAGCUCUAAUAACAGAUUGGGAUGUACAAACAUGUACAUUUCUGUAAAACUGCUUUGAAACGUUAUGUAAUGUGAAAUAUGUUAUACAAAUAAAUGUGAAUUCAAUUAAA